ensembl:lncRNA
AUACCUUGACCGGAGCAUAACUGGUUAACUUCACACAAGAGACCUACUGUUGGACAAUUGUUUUGGCUUUAAAGGAGAAAGUCAUCGCUCUGUAAUUGGCCCUUGGACUCCCCUGGCAUCUCGUGUACAGCAUGAAGUUUUCAGCUAUGAAGAUUUCCAGAGACUCCAGAAUUAAAAACAAGCCGUGAUGGAGGAGAACCAAGCUCUGAGGGAAAGCACUGCACGAGCAGCUUCGGAUGACAGCGGCUCACUUCAAGAGCAGGUGAAGCAAGUUGGGACAAUGUUGAAGACGUUUGCUCGCACUGGGCAAUCAGGUGCAGAUCAGACCUUAAUGCUGCGACGUCUUGGAGAGUUUGCCGAUGUUGUGCGAAGCAUGGACAACAAAAUGGACACUAUGCUGCAACAUUUCAGUGCCAAUGUGUCUGUUGGAGAGUUAUCCCUGCCAGGGGAUCUGUUACUCCCUCUAGACACCCAGGAAGAUUUGGCGUUGCUUGACAACAGUUUGAGGCAGGAUAAAGAGCUCCAGGAACGAUUUCUUCGGUUUUUGGCAAUCAAAUGUGGGAGGGACCUAUAAGACAACCGUCUGGCGGAUGCUUCAAAGUACCUUCUCUAAUCACCUUUCCAUCAAUACAACCUGGACUGGAGUUGGGGAUAAAGCAUGUUUUAGAGACAUGUUCCUGAAGACCAUUGUUCAAAGUAAGUUGGAUGUAAAAAAAAAAAAUGUUUAGUAGAUGUGUAUGGCAUUAUGCCAUUCAAAUGGAAUGACAGAUCUGUAUUUUCUACAGGAGCCAUCCGGAAGAACCCGGCAACACAGGAUGCCACUGAUGAAGCCGUCCAGGUUAACGUUACGCGUUACCUGAAAGGAGCAUCUGACCGUGAAGGCGGAAAAAGGUGCCGCACAGCUGAGAGGGACCCACAGCCGACCCCUUAAACCUAGGCUGACUACUGACACCCCAGCAUCACUGACAACUGGAACCCUUUCUUUAUCCUGCAGUCAGUAACAUCAAGACCCCUAAAGAAGCCAGAAGUGUCAGACUGCACUCCCCAAUCCACACUGUUCACUGUGGAUAUUAUCAUAGUGCUUAACUCUUAUUAUAUUGUUAAAUAUAGCUUGUAAAUCCUUGUGCCACAGGUCAGCAUUGCAGUUAUAUCUGUUCUACUACUUUUUUUACCUCAGUAUUUUUUAUAUAUAUGUGAAGAUGUUUAUCACAGAUACAAGAGACAUCUUGUACCCCAGGUCAGCAAUGCCAAUAUAAUGGUCUAUUCUACUCCAGAGCUUUAUUCUAAAUUAUUACCACUUAUCUUAUUGUUAGAAAUGGCUUGUAAAUGUGAUGUUAUACCUGAAUUUUUUUUGGUGUCCUGCACAUUCUUUGGUACCAGAUAUACUCAUUACUUAUGUUUACUGGUAAUUCUUUUCAUCCCAGAGCUGACCUCUUUAUAUUAUUAACAAUUAUUGUAAGUGUUAUAAUUUGCUUGUAAGCUAAGGCUGUUUUUUUUUUUUUUAACAAUUUAAUUGGAAACCUGCAUGUUCUUUUGUGUGUGUGUGUAUAUAUUUUUUUCUCUUUUUUUCUGUUAUUUAUAUUUCAGGGAUCUGACAUCAUGUUUCAAUGACAGUUACUGUACUUUGAAAUGUGGAAUUAAAACGUCAAAUGGAAAUUUGUCUGGUUUGAUCAAUCAUUAUUCUUGAUAAACUGCAUGAUAUAUAUAUAUAUAUAAGCGGCGACCGAUCGCUCGAAAAUAGCGUUUGCCUCCGACGGGCCGCGGAAGGGUCGCCUUUGAUAUAACGGCGGCGGGACGGCGGUUGGCCCGCGGGCCGGCCGCGGAACGAAGGCGGUAGGAAGGCGGCUGCCGCUUCUAAAAAGCGGCUGCCGCCGGCGGUGCACCGUCAAACGUGUUUGCGAUUACGCCAUUCUGACGCUUCUACUGCCGCCGGAGCGCCGCCGGUGGUCCGCCGACUCAUUGCUAUCUGGGGUCUUUCUGAAGGUCAGCCAUUCCUUUCCUCUCCCCUGUAGGGACAAAAGCCAUGUGUUAAGAGAGAGGACUUUACUGUAACAUCAGCUGUUCAUAUGGUAGAUGAUGCAGACAAAACAAUAGUGGAAAAGACGUAUUUUACAAUAUUCAUAUUUUAUUUUACGCACAUGCUUUAUGUUUUUUUUUCUUUCCACUCACUUCACUUUUGUUUAGGCCUAUGUGUCUGAAUCACAUUUAGCAUGCUUUAUGAGGACUCUCCAUAGGCAUAAUGGAUUUCAUACUGUACAAACUGUAUUUGCUAUACAAACUCUACCCCUAAACCCACUUUCACGCAAAACUUUCUGCUAUUUUUAGAUAAAAAUAAUAAUAAUAAAUAAAUAAAACUUAAUUCUUUAUGAUUUCUAAGCUUGUUCCUUCAUGGGAACAAACUAAUAUUAUAC